CACAGCGGUGGAGCAUGUGGUUUAAUUCGAAGCAACGCGAAGAACCUUACCAGGUCUUGACAUCCCGAUGCUAUUUCUAGAGAUAGAAAGUUACUUCGGUACAUCGGUGACAGGUGGUGCAUGGUUGUCGUCAGCUCGUGUCGUGAGAUGUUGGGUAAGUCCCGCAACGAGCGCAACCCCUAUUGUUAGUUGCCAUCAUUCAGUUGGGCACUCUAGCGAGACUGCCGGUAAUAAACCGGAGGAAGGUGGGGAUGACGUCAAAUCAUCAUGCCCCUUAUGACCUGGGCUACACACGUGCUACAAUGGUUGGUACAACGAGUUGCGAGUCGGUGACGGCGAGCUAAUCUCUUAAAGCCAAUCUCAGUUCGGAUUGUAGGCUGCAACUCGCCUACAUGAAGUCGGAAUCGCUAGUAAUCGCGGAUCAGCACGCCGCGGUGAAUACGUUCCCGGGCCUU
rnacentral:rRNA from 1 species